rnacentral:rRNA from 1 species
UACGGAGGGUGCAAGCGUUGUCCGGAAUCACUGGGCGUAAAGCGUGCGCAGGCGGUUCGUUGUGUCGGCGGUGAAAGCCCCGGGCUUAACCUGGGAAUGGCCGUUGAAACUGGCGAACUGGAGUGUGGCAGAGGGGGUGGAAUCCGCGUGUAGCAGUGAAAUGCGUAGAGAUGCGGAGGAACACCGAUGGCGAAGGCAGCCCCCUGGGCUAACACUGGACGCUCAGGC